rnacentral:lncRNA from 1 species
ACAAUAAAACACUUUAAAGUGUUAUUACACACUCCCACAUAGUUACCCAAAAACCAAAAGGCGAAUUGGCCAUCAAAAAAAGAUAACGAGGACUUUUUUUACGCCUCCGGGUCUUGAUUCUUCAUGGGGCAAUCAAUUGAAUUACGCUCUGUAACGUACUGGAGAUAGGUCUUGCACAGCCUAGGGUUCUUCUUCUGCCUGACCACCGCCUUUUUACAUGGGCCGACUAAACGCCGUUUGGUUCCACAGCCCUUGUUCCUAAUGCCAUUAGGGUUAGAACAUGAAACUUCGCCUUCGGAUGCAACACCCAACAUAUCAACUAUAACUUCCGCAUCCGAAACCGGAGGAACAUAUGGACUUUUCAAAUAACCUCUUGUUUGAAAUGCUUUAGUUUAACAUAAAACUCAUUGAGGGACGCAGAAUCAGCCAUCUUAGAAUCAAGGGUCUCCGUAGAAGGUAUUUGGAUCUCGGACUAAUGUGUGGUCCUGGUGCAAAUGGAGCGAAAAAGAGUAAUAAAGAAAUAUCCAGCUAGUUGAGUAGAGUAAACUGCCAGUGACCGAAUUAAAGUUGCUGAUAUUUUUCUCGAAUCAUUAAUAUUAGAAUUACAAAGGAAAAAGGGCAUCAGACCAUUAUAUUCACACUUGGACGAUCAUAUGCAAACAAUGGUACAUGCUGAACGAAAAGAAGGAUUCAAGUGGGCCGCCAAAAGUCAGCCCAUGCAUGUGAUUAUGAAAUUCGAAUAUGGGGCCUUUGUUAUUAUUUUCUUUAACCUAAUAUUUAUUAGACACGAAGCAUAGAUCACAGAGAAGGAGGCGGCAAUUAAUACAACAAGGCACGAAGGGAAUCAACGCAAACAGUAAAAGAUAGAGAAGAAAAGAAAGGAUUGGUUCGAGCUUCAAUGCCGCGAUUCAAGUUUCGGGUUUGGUUAGCAAUUUCUUAUUUAUUUGGUUUUGUUAGACUUUAUGUUUUACAAACUAUUAAACAUGAUUUGCUUAUCGUUUGAGACUCGUUUCUUUUUGUUGGCUAUGAUUUUUGGCUAAACUUUUUAUGGUUGCCUAGGGUUGAUGAACUAGACGAUUUGUUUGAAUGAAUAACUUUUGGUUUUGGAU